rnacentral:rRNA from 1 species
GAGUUUGAUCAUGGCUCAGAUUGAACGCUGGCGGCAUGCCUUACACAUGCAAGUCGAACGGCAGCAUGAUCUAGCUUGCUAGAUUGAUGGCGAGUGGCGAACGGGUGAGUAAUACAUCGGAACGUGCCCUGUAGUGGGGGAGUAACUAGUCGAAAGAUUAGCUAAUACCGCAUACGACCUGAGGGUGAAAGUGGGGGACCGCAAGGCCUCAUGCUAUAGGAGCGGCCGAUGUCUGAUUAGCUAGUUGGUGGGGUAAAGGCCCACCAAGGCGACGAUCAGUAGCUGGGCUGAGAGGACGAUCAGCCACACUGGGACUGAGACACGGCCCAGACUCCUACGGGAGGCAGCAGUGGGGAAUUUUGGACAAUGGGCGAAAGCCUGAUCCAGCAAUGCCGCGUGUGUGAAG